CUCCCAUACUGAGAGGCCAAGUGUGCAAGAGUCUCUAGGGAUACCUCAUUUCUGAGUGCCUCCCCUACAGCCACCUCCUAUGUGGCCAUGUUCCUGAAGCGCUGGCUUGAGGAGCUCCUCUCAGAGCUGACCCUGACUCGUGAAGGCUCUGGAGCUUGAGCAACAGCUGCUACCACCCCUCCAAGGCCCUCCACCCUGGCUGCCUUGCUCGGUCAGGAAGAGGCCUGAUCUGUGGCUGCUGGGGACGAACUGAGGACUGGUUCUUUUGUGGGAAAGAAUAUGAGACCAGAAUGAGGAAGUCCCAAUGCAUUGUGGAGUGAUGUGGCUCCCUGGAAACAAAAGUCUGAGGGCCCUGAUGUCAGAAGAGCAGGUUGGCACAGCUCUUGCUUGGUGGAGGCUGUCAGUCGCCAGGAGAGAGCGCUUCCUCACUACUACAAGGUGGCAGAGAAAGCCACAAAAGGCUGGGGCCAAAAUUCUGCAUCAGUUCCUCAUCGACAGAUAAGAUCAAGAUUGGCACCCAUGAGUUCUGGCUGAAGGCACCAAUUUUGUUCCUUGUUAUUGAAUUAUCAAAGCUAUCUUAUCCAUGUUACUUAUUAUUUUCACAGGUUCUCGGUUUCUUUCUUUUUUAAACCCUGUUCUUAUCUUUCAAGCUUUUAAAUUUAUCUUGCUCCUCUUUUUGAGUUAUAAGCUAUAAACUCUCCCUCCUUUAUAAUAUUAAACAUUCGGGCCAGGGAUUUAGCUCAGUGGCACCGUGCCUGCCUCGCAAAUGCAAGGUCCUGAGUUCAAUCCCCAGUACCAAAAAAAGAAGAAAAAAAAAUUGUGCUGCUAUAAUAUUCAGCAUUCCCUUAACUUAAGCCAGUACAUCAUGGUGUGUAAUUUUACAUCAAGAUUCACAGGGAAUAAUCAAAAUUGUUUUCCCCAUUCGAGAAAACUUAAGGAUUCAUCAGUUUUCGAUUUUCUCAUGAGGAGAUAAGAUUCUUUAUGAUUAGGUGAAGAAUGUAUCUGUAGAUGCAGUAUAUUAAGAUCUUUGCCUGAACUGUCCUUUUGACUUAUGGAUCAAAAUUCAGACUUUUCCUCCUGUGUAUUAUUAUGAUGCUUAUUUCAAUUACAGGUUUAAUUUAAUAACUGAAUGUAGAACUCUAUAUUUUCAGAACUCUUUGGAAAAUAAAAUUUCCAAUUACCUUAAUUUUCUAAACAGUUCAAAGUUCCUAAAGCCAAAUAAGAAUAUCAUAAAAUACAACCAGUUUAAGGUCGGUGAUUUAGCUCAGUGGUUCAGGCACCUGCCUCGAAAGCACAAGGUCCUGAGUUGGAUGCCCAGUACCAAAAAAAAAAAAA
rnacentral:lncRNA from 1 species